rnacentral:rRNA from 1 species
UAGGCACACUGGCGGCGCGCCUAACACAUGCAGUCGAACGAGCGAGAGAUAGCUUGCUUUCUCGAGCGAGUGGCGAACGGGUGAGUAACGCGUGAGGAACCUGCCUCAAAGAGGGGGACAACAGUUGGAAACGACUGCUAAUACCGCAUAAGCCCACGACCCGGCAUCGGGUAGAGGGAAAAGGAGCAAUCCGCUUUGAGAUGGCCUCGCGUCCGAUUAGCUAGUUGGUGAGGUAAUGGCCCACCAAGGCGACGAUCGGUAGCCGGACUGAGAGGUUGAACGGCCACAUUGGGACUGAGACACGGCCCAGACUCCUACGGGAGGCAGCAGUGGGGAGUAUUGCACAAUGGGGGAAACCCUGAUGCAGCGACGCCGCGUGGAGGAAGAAGGUCUUCGGAUCGUAAACUCCUGUUGUUGAGGAAGAUAAUGACGGUACUCAACAAGGAAGUGACGGCUAACUACGUGCCAGCAGCCGCGGUAAA